rnacentral:rRNA from 1 species
UACGUAGGGGGCAAGCGUUGUCCGGAUUUAUUGGGCGUAAAGAGCGUGUAGGCGGCUUUACAGGUCCGUUGUGAAAACUCGAGGCUCAACCUCGAGACGCCGGUGGAAACCGUAAAGCUAGAGUCCGGAAGAGGAUAGCGGAAUUCUCGGUGUAGAAGUGAAAUUCGUAGAUAUCGAGAGGAACACCGGUGGCGAAGGCGGCUAUCUGGACAGAAACUGACGCUCAUGUGCGAAAGCCAGGGGAGCGAACGGG